rnacentral:rRNA from 1 species
CUUAUGGAGAGUUUGAUCCUGGCUCAGGACGAACGCUGGCGGCAUGCCUAAUACAUGCAAGUCGAGCGAAUGACGAAGAAGCUUGCUUCUUCUGAUUUAGCGGCGGACGGGUGAGUAACACGUGGGCA